AGAGUUUGAUUAUGGCUCAGGAUGAACGCUGGCGGUAUGCUUAACACAUGCAAGUCGAACGGUCUCUUCGGAGAUAGUGGCGGACGGGUGAGUAACGCGUGAGAAUCUGCCUUCAGGUCUGGGACAACCAUUGGAAACGGUGGCUAAUACCGGAUGAGCAGAGAUGUGAAAGAUUAAUUGCCUGAAGAGGAGCUCGCGUCUGAUUAGCUAGUUGGUGGGGUAAGAGCUUACCAAGGCGACGAUCAGUAGCUGGUCUGAGAGGACGAUCAGCCACACUGGGACUGAGACACGGCCCAGACUCCUACGGGAGGCAGCAGUGGGGAAUUUUCCGCAAUGGGCGAAAGCCUGACGGAGCAAUACCGCGUGAGGGAGGAAGGCUCUUGGGUCGUAAACCUCUUUUCUCAGGGAAGAAAAAAAUGACGGUACCUGAGGAAUAAGCAUCGGCUAACUCCGUGCCAGCAGCCGCGGUAAUACGGAGGAUGCAAGCGUUAUCCGGAAUGAUUGGGCGUAAAGCGUCCGCAGGUGGCUAUGUAAGUCUGCUGUUAAAGAGCAAGGCUCAACCUUGUAAAAGCGGUGGAAACUACAUAGCUAGAGUGCGUUCGGGGCAGAGGGAAUUCCUGGUGUAGCGGUGAAAUGCGUAGAGAUCAGGAAGAACACCGGUGGCGAAAGCGCUCUGCUAGGCCGCAACUGACACUGAGGGACGAAAGCUAGGGGAGCGAAUGGGAUUAGAUACCCCAGUAGUCCUAGCCGUAACGAUGGAUACUAGCGUGGCUUGUAUCGACCCGAGCCGUGCCGAGCUAACGCGUUAAGUAU
rnacentral:rRNA from 1 species